rnacentral:piRNA from 1 species
UACAAGAUGCCGUGUUGUUGGUAAGUGG